GCGGGAUUGGUUCAAUGGUAGAACAUCUGCUUCCCAAGCAGAGGACACGAGUUCGAUUCUCGUAUCUCGCA
rnacentral:tRNA from 1 species